rnacentral:rRNA from 2 species
GGUUAAGCGACUAAGCGUACACGGUGGAUGCCUAGGCAAUCAGAGGCGAUGAAGGACGUGCUAAUCUGCGAUAAGCGUCGGUAAGGUGAUAUGAACCGUUACAACCGACGAUUUCCGAAUGGGGAAACCCAGUGCAAUUCGUUGCACUAUCGUUUGAUGAAUACAUAGUCAAACGAAGCGAACCGGGGGAACUGAAACAUCUCAGUACCCCGAGGAAAAGAAAUCAACCGAGAUUCCCCUAGUAGCGGCGAGCGAACGGGGAGCAGCCCAGAGUCUUAAUCAGCAUUAGCAUCAGGAGAACGGUCUGGAAAGUCCGGCAGUAAAGGGUGAUAGCCCCGUAUCCGAAGGUGUUAGUGUUGUGAACUCGACGAGUAGGGCGGGACACGUGUUAUCCUGUCUGAAUAUGGGGGGACCAUCCUCCAAGGCUAAAUACUCCUGAUUGACCGAUAGUGAACCAGUACCGUGAGGGAAAGGCGAAAAGAACCCCGGCGAGGGGAGUGAAAUAGAACCUGAAACCGUGUACGUACAAGCAGUGGGAGCC